rnacentral:rRNA from 1 species
AUUGAACGCUAGCGGGAUGCUUUACACAUGCAAGUCGAACGGCAGCGCGGACUUCGGUCUGGCGGCGAGUGGCGAACGGGUGAGUAAUGUAUCGGAACGUGCCCAGUAGCGGGGGAUAACUACGCGAAAGCGUAGCUAAUACCGCAUACGCCCUACGGGGGAAAGCAGGGGAUCGUAAGACCUUGCACUAUUGGAGCGGCCGAUAUCGGAUUAGCUAGUUGGUGAGGUAACGGCUCACCAAGGCGACGAUCCGGAGCUGGUUUGAGAGGACGACCAGCCACACUGGGACUGAGACACGGCCCAGACUCCUACGGGAGGCAGCAGUGGGGAAUUUUGGACAAUGGGGGCAACCCUGAUCCAGCCAUCCCGCGUGUGCGAUGAAGGCCUUCGGGUUGUAAAGCACUUUUGGCAGGAAAGAAACGUCGCGGGCUAAUACCCCGUGGAACUGACGGUACCUGCAGAAUAAGCACCGGCUAACUACGUG